rnacentral:rRNA from 1 species
UUCCCCUAGUAACUGCGAGUGAAGCGGGAAGAGCUCAAAUUUAAAAUCUGGUAGUCUUUGGCUGCCCGAGUUGUAAUCUAGAGAAGCGUUAUCCGCGCUGGACCGUGUAUAAGUCUCCUGGAAUGGAGCGUCAUAGAGGGUGAGAAUCCCGUCUUUGACACGGACUACCAGGGCUUUGUGAUGCGCUCUCAAAGAGUCGAGUUGUUUGGGAAUGCAGCUCUAAAUGGGUGGUAAAUUCCAUCUAAAGCUAAAUAUUGGCGAGAGACCGAUAGCGAACAAGUACCGUGAGGGAAAGAUGAAAAGAACUUUGGAAAGAGAGUUAAACAGUACGUGAAAUUGUUGAAAGGGAAACGCUUGAAGUCAGUCGCGUUGUCCAGGGAUCAACCCUGCUUUUGCUCGGUGUACUUCCUGGUUUCAACGGGUCAGCAUCAAUUUUGAUCAGUGGAAAAAGAUCAAAGGAAUGUGGCAUCUUUGGAUGUGUUAUAGCCUUUGGUUGUAUACAUUGGUUGGGAUUGAGGAACUCAGCACGCCGCAAGGCCGGGUUUUUAACCACGUUCGUGCUUAGGAUGCUGGCAUAAUGGCUUUAAUC